GCUCUUCUUCAUACGUGCAGGUUGAAACUCGGUACAACGAACGUACAAAUCAGACGAGCUCGCACACAACUGCUAGCCGACCGCCAUGGGCCUACCCCGAUGUCACUUACGAAUCUUGGAACACCUAAGCAUUGUGAACUAAUCGGAUUGAUAUUAUUUUUAUGUCUAUUUUUCGUAAUAUGUUUACUUUUAUUCUGGUACUUCAUUGUAUUAAUUAAAAAAAAAUCAUUUUAGUUAAGAGAGUAGCAAAAAUGUAUUUCGUUUCAUGGCUAUUUUUUAAUCAUACAUUUUAAAUUAAGAAAACAAUGUUUAAGAGAAUUAAAAAACUUUAAGGAUCGUACUGACAUAGAGUACUACGGAUACUGUUCUUUCCAAACGACUACGCAAAUUCCACGGACAUACGAUUGAAAAUAGUGAUAGAUUUUGGAAACACGACUUGCCAAAAUAAAUCGUCGAUAGGAUUCUUUACUAACAUUAAAUGCUUCAGUUUUCAAAAUAGAAAUUGAAUUUAUUUUUAUAAAUUAUUAACUAUACAUUAAUUUAAACUCGAAUCGUAUUUUACUUAUACAGUAUUAUAUUUGUAUAUAAAUGGAGUAGUGACAUAUUUACCUACUGUAGAAAAGACACUUCCUCUACGCAACUUUAAAAAUAAUAUUUAACAUUUAAAAUAACCUUUGAUGUCAGUAAUUUACACUGAUUGUUAAACAAAAAAAUAUACAUAUAAUUUGA
rnacentral:misc_RNA from 1 species